UGCACGUCAUCCUGGAGUGCGUCGGCAUAUUAUUCAGCCCUGGCUGGAGAUGGCUGGGGCACCCUGCGUAAUUCAGAUGUGGGUUGAAUGGAAUGACGCACAUCCCUGCGUUAACAGGUGUACCAGAAUGCCUGUGUUGUGCAACCGUGCAUUCUUUCAGCGGCAUAAUUCACAAAGGUCUGCGUCCCUUCUACUUUUCCUUGUGCAGGCAACCAUGCCGAUGUGGUGGCGCCACCCUCCCACCUGGUGUUCGUAAACAACGUAAACGCCAUCCCGUUAAACUACACGACCCUCUCCGCAACGGACGUUUUCUGCGUGGUAACGCCAUUGCCUCAACCCCGCUAUCACGCUAACGGUAAACUAUAACUGUCUACUGGCAGCUCUGAUGAAACUCUUUUUGUGGCCUUUUGAACAAUAAAGGCUG